rnacentral:rRNA from 1 species
UUGCUACUUGGAUACCUGUGGUAAUUCUAGAGCUAAUACAUGCUAAAAACCCCGACUUCGGAAGGGGUGUAUUUAUUAGAUAAAAAACCAAUGCCCUCCGGGGCUACCUGGUGAUUCAUGAUAACUUAACGAAUCGCAUGGCCUUGCGCCGGCGAUGGUUCAUUCAAAUUUCUGCCCUAUCAACUUUCGAUGGUAAGGUUUUGGCUUACCAUGGUUUCUACGGGUAACGGGGUAUAAGGGUACGACACCGGAGAGGGAGCCUGAGAAACGGCUACCACAUCCAAGGAAGGCAGCAGGCGCGCAAAUUACCCAAUCCCGACACGGGGAGGUAGUAAGUUUCCCCUUUUUCAGCUGAGGAGAAACAAUACUAACUAUUUUUCAGGCGACAAGAAAUACUGAUGCAGAGCUCUUUUGGGUUUUGCAAUUGGAAUGAGUACAAUUUAAACCCCUUAACGAGGAACAAUUGGAGGGCAAGUCUGGUGGACACAGUCCCGUACUGGCACCAGAAAUUGAGAGACAGACGGCCUUUUGCAGGCUGAUCUGCUCCAGUCGCUUUGGGCGGCAAGGCACUUGGUACGGGGAAAGUCGUAGGGUUAAGUGCUCUGACAAUCCCGCAGCGAGUGGGAAGUUUUACUCCACCGUUGUAACGCGCGCAAAAGUGUCGGCUACUUUACGGUAGUCCAAGGGACGCGCUAUUUCCAUUCAAACGAAUGUUACGAUGAAAAACAGGCCAGCAGCCGCGGUAAUUCCAGCUCCAAUAGCGUAUAUUAAAGUUGUUGCAGUUAAAAAGCUCGUAGUUGAAACUUGGGCCUGGCUGGCCGGUCCGCCUCACCGCGUGUACUGGUCCGGCCGGGCCUUUCCUUCUGGGGAGCCGCAUGCCCUUCAUUGGGUGUGCCGGGGAACCAGGACUUUUACUUUGAAAAAAUUAGAGUGUUCAAAGCAGGCCUAUGCUCGAAUACAUUAGCAUGGAAUAAUAGAAUAGGACGUGUGGUUCUAUUUUGUUGGUUUCUAGGACCGCCGUAAUGAUUAAUAGGGAUAGUCGGGGACGUCAGUAUUCAACUGUCAGAGGUAAAAUUCUUGGAUUUGUUGAAGACUAACUACUGCGAAAGCAUUCGUCAAGGAUGUUUUCAUUAAUCAGUGAACGAAAGUUAGGGGAUCGAAGACGAUUAACGAACCCCCACAAAGGGUAUCUGGUCGUCAAUAGGCAUCUAGUCCGGGUAGCAUCCCGGGCAACACCGUCAAACUGUAGGGGUCCCGUUCCGGGUAACCUACAGCCAAGCUCUUCCCGAGUGCAGUCUACAGACUGAAUGCCGGUGGGCGGGCAGCGCCCGUCUCUGAUAUAGUCGAGUCUUCUGGGCUGUUCCAGACAGUACAACGCAGAUACCGUCGUAGUCUUAACCAUAAACUAUGCCGACUAGGGAUCGGACGGUGUUAUUAUUUUGACCCGUUCGGCACCUUACGAGAAAUCAAAGUUUUUGGGUUCUGGGGGGAGUAUGGUCGCAAGGCUGAAACUUAAAGACAUUGACGGAAGGGCACCACCAGGCGUGGAGCCUGCGGCUUAAUUUGACUCAACACGGGGAAACUCACCGGGUUAACAGAGGAUGUUACGGUCCGGGCUCGGUUAUUUCCCGGCGGCUCGUCCGCCGGGAACAGUGCCAUCUUCAUGGUGCGACACCUGCUGGUACAGGGGACGUGCGCUCUCUGCGGAAUUGCCGCAGCCUGCGCCGCCAACCCUGUGGUGAGUCUUCACGACGAAGGCCAUCGCAACGCGCGCCAAGCGGUGGGCAGUUCUAGAUGGGACUGCUUCUUAUACGUGCUAAUCCCGCGGGACCUCACCGCGCUUACCCAGGGCAUCUCUGGGCGGGGCCUAUCCGGGCAAUGUGGCUGCCAGCUCUUGUGGCAGCGUGCUUGAUAGGUGGAAGCAUACGUUUUCGAGCCUCCAGUAAGUCGGGGGAUCCUGGGCGUCGAAAGCGUAAGAUCUUGCCGGACAAAAUAAGGAUUGACAGAUUGAGAGCUCUUUCUUGAUCUUUUGGUUGGUGGUGCAUGGCCGUUUUUAGUUGGUGGAGUGAUUUGUCUGCUUAAUUGCGAUAACGAACGAGACCUUAACCUGCUAAAUAGCCCGGUCAGCUUUGGCUGGCCGCCGGCUUCUUAGAGGGACUAUCGGCUCAAGCCGAUGGAAGUUUGAGGCAAAAACAGGUCUGUGAUGCCCUUAGAUGUUCCGGGCCGCACGGUACGUUCUUCCUUACCAUUUUUCCUCCGGGUACAAGCUAACAGUUUACAGCGCGCUACACUGACAGAGACAACGAGUUCAUCACCUUGGCCGAAAGGUUUGGGUAAUCUUGUUAAACUCUGUCGUGCUGGGGAUAGAGCAUUGCAAUUAUUGCUCUUCAACGAGGAAUGCCUAGUAAGCGCAAGUCAUCAGCUUGCGUUGAUUACGUCCCUGCCCUUUGUACACACCGCCCGUCGCUACUACCGAUUGAAUGGCUCAGUGAGGCCUUCGGACUGGCCUAGGGAGGUCGGCAACGACCACCCAGGGCCGGAAAGUNGUCAAAC